rnacentral:rRNA from 1 species
CAUGCAAGUCGAGCGAAUGGAUUAAGAGCUUGCUCUUAUGAAGUUAGCGGCGGACGGGUGAGUAACACGUGGGUAACCUGCCCAUAAGACUGGGAUAACUCCGGGAAACCGGGGCUAAUACCGGAUAACAUUUUGAACCGCAUGGUUCGAAAUUGAAAGGCGGCUUCGGCUGUCACUUAUGGAUGGACCCGCGUCGCAUUAGCUAGUUGGUGAGGUAACGGCUCACCAAGGCAACGAUGCGUAGCCGACCUGAGAGGGUGAUCGGCCACACUGGGACUGAGACACGGCCCAGACUCCUACGGGAGGCAGCAGUAGGGAAUCUUCCGCAAUGGACGAAAGUCUGACGGAGCAACGCCGCGUGAGUGAUGAAGGCUUUCGGGUCGUAAAACUCUGUUGUUAGGGAAGAACAAGUGCUAGUUGAAUAAGCUGGCACCUUGACGGUACCUAACCAGAAAGCCACGGCUAACUACGUGCCAGCAGCCGCGGUAAUACGUAGGUGGCAAGCGUUAUCCGGAAUUAUUGGGCGUAAAGCGCGCGCAGGUGGUUUCUUAAGUCUGAUGUGAAAGCCCACGGCUCAACCGUGGAGGGUCAUUGGAAACUGGGAGACUUGAGUGCANAAGAGGAAAGUGGAAUUCCAUGUGUAGCGGUGAAAUGCGUANAGAUAUGGAGGAACACCANUGGCGAAGGCGACUUUCUGGUCUGUAACUGACACUGA